rnacentral:lncRNA from 1 species
CACACUUUUUAAGGUAACUGAGAAUUGGAGGGGAUUAAUCUCUAGACAUGUAAAAAGUCCCAGCUGUUCAAUAAAAGAUUAUAUCCAUUGACUAAUAUACAGUUCACUUCUAAAUCAUAUGUUGAGCUCUUACACCUUAGUGGCUCAAGAGUCAAGACAACAACAAUGUUCAAUGCAUAAUGUAGUCACAUAAAAUCCAUAACAUGCAAAAAUAUGUCAAUUAAUCAAAUACCUAUGAACCAUUAUACUAUUUAAUCUGACUCCACAAUAUCCAUAUCAGUAGGCCAAAAGGUAAAGACAACAAGCAGCAACCAAAUAUGUGGCAGAUUCAAACAAUACAUAAGGUUAGACUACGCCAUAAUCCUAACUGCAAGUGUUUUAAAUAAUUGCAGUCCACAACCACAAUUACUGCCUUAACAAUGUUGAAAAGUACACAACUACCGUAUUUAUUCACGACUGCAUUUUUCCACAAUUGUUUUCACUUUCGGUAUUUGAAAUGUAACCACAGUUUGCAACUGCACAGCUACUUGAAACCAUUUUGAAUCCAGCAACCUAUUCCAGUAUAGCUGAAUUCAUGCAAUAGAUUAUCAGACUAAACAAACAUGGCGAGAAAAAUUACUAUCACAAAAAAGUAUUCAUGCCCAUGAGUGCAAGCUAAAAUCAACUUUCACAUUCACAUGAAUUACUAGCCAAUUAUUAAGACUUAUAUACAUCGCGAUUUUGAAAAAGGCUAUCAAAUUUAAAAACAAAACCAACAGUUGUGUAAGUAGGAAAUGCAAAAUGUUAACUAAACUAUCUCAAACUAGCUCCAAUCAAGUCCUGAACAAGUAUUCAAAUCGAAUAUGGAACACGAUAACAAAUUAAGGCUAAAUACCUGAAAACUUGAUCAUGAUAUGCCGGUUUUGUCCCUGGUUUGUGCAAGACAGAGUUUUUCUUCAUAAAGCUUUAAUAGAUAAGAUGACUCCUCCAUAAAACGUUUUAUACACGUAUCAAGAAACACCUGCUCAGACACUACAAAUGGAUAAGUUAAGCUUGCAUCCUUUUUUCGCAAACCUUUCUUCAACAGAAAUUGCACAACUGAGGCU